rnacentral:rRNA from 1 species
UACGGAGGGUGCAAGCGUUAUCCGGAUUCACUGGGUUUAAAGGGUGCGUAGGUGGGCAAGUAAGUCAGUGGUGAAAUCUCCGGGCUUAACCCGGAAACUGCCAUUGAUACUACCAGUCUUGAAUGUAGUGGAGGUAGGCGGAAUGCGUCAUGUAGCGGUGAAAUGCUUAGAUAUGACGCAGAACACCAAUUGCGAAGGCAGCUUGCUACACUACUAUUGACACUGAGGCACGAAAGCGUGGGGAUCAAACAGG